rnacentral:sRNA from 1 species
UUUUAGCCCUGAUUGCAGUGGAAAUCCUUUUCUUUUUUUCUUUAAAAAAGAAAAGAUUGGAGCGUAAAGCAGGAAUAGCU